rnacentral:rRNA from 1 species
UAACACUUGGAAACAGGUGCUAAUACCGUAUAACAAUCGAAACCGCAAGGUUUCGUUUUGAAAGGCGCUUUACGGUGCCGCUGAUGGAUGGACCCGCGGUGCAUUAGCUAGUUGGUGAGGUAACGGCUCACCAAGGCCACAAUGCAUAACCGACCUGAGAGGGUGAUCGGCCACAUUGGGACUGAGACACGGCCCAAACUCCUACGGGAGGCAGCAGUAGGGAAUCUUCGGCAAUGGACGAAAGUCUGACCGAGCAACGCCGCGUGAGUGAAGAAGGUUUUCGGAUCGUAAAACUCUGUUGUUAGAGAAGAACAAGGGUGAGAGUAACUGUUCACCCCUUGACGGUNUCUAACCAGAAAGCCACGGCUAACUACGUGCCAGCAGCCGCGGUAAUACGUAGGUGGCAAGCGUUGUCCGGAUUUAUUGGGCGUAAAGCGAGCGCAGGCGGUUUCUUAAGUCUGAUGUGAAAGCCCCCGGCUCAACCGGGGAGGGUCAUUGGAAACUGGGAGACUUGAGUGCAGAAGAGGAGAGUGGAAUUCCAUGUGUAGCGGUGAAAUGCGUAGAUAUAUGGAGGAACACCAGUGGCGAAGGCGGCUCUCUGGUCUGUAACUGACGCUGAGGCUCGAAAGCGUGGGGAGCAAACAGGAUUAGAUACCCUGGUAGUCCACGCCGUAAACGAUGAGUGCUAAGUGUUGGAGGGUUUCCGCCCUUCAGUGCUGCAGCUAACGCAUUAAGCACUCCGCCUGGGGAGUACGACCGCAAGGUUGAAACUCAAAGGAAUUGACGGGGGCCCGCACAAGCGGUGGAGCAUGUGGUUUAAUUCGAAGCAACGCGAAGAACCUUACCAGGUCUUGACAUCCUUUGACCACUCUAGAGAUAGAGCUUCCCCUUCGGGGGCAAAGUGACAGGUGGUGCAUGGUUGUCGUCAGCUCGUGUCGUGAGAUGUUGGGUUAAGUCCCGCAACGAGCGCAACCCUUAUUGUUAGUUGCCAUCAUUUAGUUGGGCACUCUAGCAAGACUGCCGGUGACAAACCGGAGGAAGGUGGGGAUGACGUCAAAUCAUCAUGCCCCUUAUGACCUGGGCUACACACGUGCUACAAUGGGAAGUACAACGAGUCGCGAAGUCGCGAGGCUAAGCUAAUCUCCUAAAGCUUCUCUCAGUUCGGAUUGUAGGUUGCAACUCGCCUACAUGAAGCCGGAAUCGCUAGUAAUCGCGGAUCAGCACGCCGCGGUGAAUACGUUCCCGGGCCUUGUACACACCCGCCCGUCACACCCACAGAGAA